rnacentral:rRNA from 1 species
GACGAACCGUGCGAACGUUAUUCGGAAUCACUGGGCUUAAAGCGCGUGUAGGCGGGUCGGCACGUCGGGAGCUGAAAUCCCCCGGCUCAACCGGGGAACUGCGUCCGAUACUGGAUGGCUUGAGUUCGGGAGAGGGAUGCGGAAUUCCAGGUGUAGCGGUGAAAUGCGUAGAUAUCUGGAGGAACACCGGUGGCGAAGGCGGCAUCCUGGACCGAUACUGACGCUGAGGAGCGAAAGCCAGGGGAGCAAACGGG